GAUGAAGAACGUAGCGAAAUGCGAUAAGUAAUGUGAAUUGCAGAAUUCAGUGAAUCAUCGAAUCUUUGAACGCACAUUGCGCCCCCUGGUAUUCCGGGGGGCAUGCCUGUUCGAGCGUCAUUUCACCACUCAAGCCUCGCUUGGUAUUGGGCAACGCGGUCCGCCGCGUGCCUCAAAUCGACCGGCUGGGUCUUCUGUCCCCUAAGCGUUGUGGAAACUAUUCGCUAAAGGGUGUUCGGGAGGCUACGCCGUAAAACAACCCCAUUUCUAAGGUUGACCUCGGAUCAGGUAGGGAUACCCGCUGAACUUAAGCAUAUCCAUAAGCGGAGGA
rnacentral:misc_RNA from 1 species